UACGGUAGGGGGCUAGCGUUGUCCGGAAUCAUUGGGCGUAAAGAGCGUGUAGGCGGUCCGGUAAGUCCGUUGUGAAAGUCAAGGGCUCAACCCUUGAAUGCCGGCGGAUACUGUCGGGCUAGAGUCCGGAAGAGGCGAGUGGAAUUCCCGGUGUAGCGGUGAAAUGCGCAGAUAUCGGGAGGAACACCUAUGGCGAAGGCAGCUCGCUGGGACGGCACUGACGCUGAGACGCGAAAGCGUGGGGAGCAAACAGG
rnacentral:rRNA from 1 species